GAAAACAUGGAAAUUUUUGAUUUCACGUUAACAUCCGAUGAGAUGAACGCUAUCCGUGAACUCGGCACUGGAAAGAGGGUAGUAGCUUUCGACGUUGGGAAACAUUUCAAAUACUAUCCUUUCAACAUUCCGUUUUAAACGAAAUUGAUAUGGUAAAGAGAGAGGAAAAAA